rnacentral:rRNA from 1 species
ACGAGUUUGAUCCUGGCUCAGAUUGAACGCUGGCGGCAUGCUUUACACAUGCAAGUCGAACGGUAACAGGCCUUCGGGUGCUGACGAGUGGCGAACGGGUGAGUAAUGCAUCGGAACGUGCCCAAUCGUGGGGGAUAACGUAGCGAAAGUUACGCUAAUACCGCAUAAGCCCUGAGGGGGAAAGCAGGGGGAUCGCAAGACCUUGCGCGAAUGGAGCGGCCGAUGUCAGAUUAGCUAGUUGGUGGGGUAAAAGCCUACCAAGGCGACGAUCUGUAGCGGGUCUGAGAGGAUGAUCCGCCACACUGGGACUGAGACACGGCCCAGACUCCUACGGGAGGCAGCAGUGGGGAAUUUUGGACAAUGGGCGCAAGCCUGAUCCAGCCAUGCCGCGUGCGGGACGAAGGCCUUCGGGUUGUAAACCGCUUUCAGCCGGAAAGAAAUCGCCAAGGCUAAUAUCCUUGGUGGAUGACGGUACCGGAAGAAGAAGCACCGGCUAACUACGUG